UUCUCAAGCCACUCUUUCCAUGAUUCUUCUCUCAGUUAGGCCUUUAUGGGGCCUCACUGCAUAAUGAAUGGCUAUAACAUCAUAUGACUGGUAUCUUCUUCUUUUGUAUCUUUUUAAAUUUACUCAGAAUAAGUUACAGUUCUUAUUAAAAAAACUAAAAUCAUUGAGUUUUUAUCAAUUGCACCGUUCCCCUUUUCUUAUCAAUUAACUGUAACCGUUUGUAACUCUCAAACGACUCAUCUCUUACCAGUUACGUCUCUCAAAGAUUUUCAUUAAUGUUCCUAGAAUGGUUCAAGCACAAUUAACCUUCAAAUGAUCACAAAAAACAAGGCCACCUCAUAUUCGUGAAGCCAUCAAAAUAAGCAUCGAUAUUGAGUCUACAACUGAUGACAAAGUUCUAGAGAUAUGCGACGUCAAACUAUGUUCCAUUGGCCUCAUUCAAAUUCCUGUUAAAGGUUACUUGAGGUGCGCUCAUUUGAAGAGCUUUCACUUUAGUUACUUCAUAAGUAACAAUAUCGAUGAAGAUAAUUUUUUGUUACAUUAUAAUUGUAGUAAUGAAUUGAACGAAUUUUCAGAAAGUAAAAACAAAUAACUUAAAGAUGAGAUAUUAGAGUAUGUUAUAUGUACUCUUGAUUGAUGAGGUUGUUCACCACCGCGGCUAAUUUUACCUAGUUUGUUUAUAUAUUUCAUUUUCAAGAAUUUUCUAUACUAAAGCUGUAGUAUGUAAGGGACUUACAGCAGCAAGAAGAUC